UAGUAAUGUAGUUAAUUUAUUAAGAGGACCUGAAAUGACCAUGUAGACAUAUUUAAUACUGAAGAA
ensembl:snoRNA